UACGAAGGGGGCUAGCGUUGUUCGGAAUUACUGGGCGUAAAGCGCACGUAGGCGGAUACUUAAGUUAGGGGUGAAAUCCCAGGGCUCAACCCUGGAACUGCCUCUAAUACUGGGUAUCUCGAGUCCGGAAGAGGUGAGUGGAAUUCCGAGUGUAGAGGUGAAAUUCGUAGAUAUUCGGAGGAACACCAGUGGCGAAGGCGGCUCACUGGUCCGGUACUGACGCUGAGGUGCGAAAGCGUGGGGAGCAAACAGG
rnacentral:rRNA from 1 species